GUGCUACAUAUGACAAGAAAUAUAUUAUCAAGCUAUUAUUGAUCUCAGAAUAUAUUUCUAUGUAUAUUUCUAAUAGGGGCUAUCAGAAUAGUCAUAAUAGAUGGAAGAGGCCAGGCACUAUUUGCUAUUGUCAAUAAACUAAUAGCUAAGAUUAUUCCAUUUUGUAACCAUAGACUGCCCUCCUGCUGCUGGUUAACGUAUUUUGAAAAGGACUGCUGUCAGUCCUCAAGGAAAAUAGAAACUUUCAGCUGCACAGUUCUAAGAUGGCUUUGUAAAAUCUUCACUCCAAACAACAGGUAUUAUCUAUAACUUAAGCAAGAAAUGCUGAUGGGGUCUGGUCUACAUAUCUCAGAGGGAAGAGAGGAGAACAGUGGGUGACAUCAUGUGCCAUAUGUUCAGCAAUACCUAUAGCACUGUAGGUACAAUGGGCAGAGGUGAGAGUCUUUAUGCCAAAUCUCUUCAUUGUUGGGGGAUGUGAUGAAUUUUAAAUUCAUAUUUUAUUUAUUUUCCAAGUACUGUAUUUUCUUGUCUGCUUUUCUUAAAAAAAAUUCAUAGAAUUUAUUUGCCUCUUCCAG
rnacentral:lncRNA from 1 species